UAUUUAUCCAAAGAAAAGUGUGCCAGGGAAUACUUCAGGCUGUUCUACAGCUCGCCUGAAAUACGCGAGCGAUUCCAGGUUAAACUAAAACCAUGUCCCAGAACAGUACGGGAAACAUUGCUGAGUCAACCGACCUGCUCAGUUAUUGGUGAAAGCAUUGAGGUACCUAUGGAACUUGAUAGCUUUGAUCUGCCAUCCGAUCAACCUUCAGAUCAACCAAAGCGCAACGAUACGCACAGAGAAUCUGUAAAUGAACC
rnacentral:lncRNA from 1 species